GGUGGUCGAGUAUUGUGCUGGA
rnacentral:siRNA from 1 species